rnacentral:rRNA from 1 species
AUGUGCGGCGCGACGGCGAGGUGCGCGCUGUGCGGCGCGCCGGCGGACGUGCACUGCGCGGCCGACGCGGCGUUCCUCUGCGCGCCCUGCGACGCCAGGGUCCACGGCGCCAACUUCCUCGCCUCCCGCCACCGCCGCACGCGCCUCGCUGCGUCUAAGGAGGACGAGGAGGAGCAGGAGGCCCUGUCCGGGAUGACCACGUCGAGCUCAUGCGUGUCCACGGCCGACUCUGCGACGACAACGACUCCGGCGCCGGUGGGGCGGAGGCCCAAGAUCAGGAGCAGCCCCCGCGCGCGGGGCGAGGAGGUGCUCGAGGGGUGGGCCAAGAAGAUGGGCCUUCCGGCGGGGGUGGCGCGCAGGCGCGCCGCGGCGGCCGCGCGCACGCUCCGGGCCGUGGCCGCGGCGCCGAGGAAGGUGCCGCUGCGCGUCGCGAUGGCGGCCGCGCUGUGCCUGGAGGUGAUGGCGGCUCACGUCGGCGGCGCCCACGAGGCCGGCGACGCGCUCCGGCGGCUGGAGGCGUGCGCGCACGUGCCGGCGAGGGUGCUCGUGGAGGUGGUCUCGUCCAUGGGCCGCGCGCGCGCCAGCAGACCGGCCGCCGCCGUGGACGCCGAAGAGGGCUGGGGCGAGUGCCCGUGA